UUUUUUUUUUUUUUUUGCAUUUGGAAAAGAGAAAAAGCAUAUCUCUUAUUUUGUCUAAAAUUUUCCAGUUUAUUCACCAAUUCUGUUAUGACUUCCAACAUCUGAAUACCCUACUACUCAACAAACUCCGGGUAAAUUUCACAGUGCUAACAAAUUGUGUGUCCCAAUCUUAGUCAAACCAUUAUAAAAUACUGAUAAUUCUGAUCCUCUGCUUAUAUAGGAAUUGGUGUUCUGUGUGUUGUUUACAUGACUUACUCUGGUCACAAGCUCUGAACAUUUCCAGAAACUUGCAUUGGUAAAUGUUAGAACUUUACACGGACACUAAAAGAUCCCAUUUCUCUUUCUUAGGUGGCCUUUCAUCAGACACACAAUGUGUUCCUAAAUGUAUUUUGGGGAAAACUAACUCCACAGGUUCCCAAUAGCAUUCAUUUAAAUGAAGAAUAUGACACAAUCAAAUAAAAUUGGGAAAUACUGAAUUAAAAUAGCUCUUUACUACAGAAAUUCACAAAGUUUUGAAUAUAUUAAUGAGUACUGAGAAUAUCUGAGCUGGUGGAUAAAAUAUGAAGCUUUUCCCUUAGCUUGACUUGACCUUUGACCCCUUCUUGUGCAAAGUACGUUUUGGGACUAGUGCAAAACCAGCUUGUGAAAUGCUUUUUCUAAGCAAUAGAUCUACUUGAAAACAUUGACCUUCUGUAGAAAACUUAGUUAAUUUAAAUCUUCUAUGAUCUUACUAAGAAAUAUUUUAAUACCCCACGUGUCUAAAACAGAAAAGCAAACCAUAUAGUCUUUCCUCAUAAACUCAUUUGGAGUUCAGACCUACCCAUAAUUCCAGCUAAUCUUUCCUUCAAGCAUUCAUUUGCUAGAGUAACCUGGCUAUUUUUAUUAUGUACUUUUUCUUCUUAAAAUCAGUUGGCUCACUCUCAUAGAUAUCUUGCAGCUAUUUGUUUGUGUGUGUGUUUAUGCAUUCUUGGCUGCUAUAGACAGAAUUGUGUCUCCCUAAAACUCGUAUGUUAAAGGUCCUCACUUCCAAAGUGACUGUAUUUGGAGAUAGGGUCUAGAAGGGGGCAGUUACAGUUAAAUGAAGUCAUAAGAGUGAAGAAUUGAUUUGAGGAUUAAUUUCCUUGUAAGUGGAGAUACCAAAGAGAUUGUACUCUCUCUCUACCUUAUAAGGACACAGAGAAAGGGGAGCUGUCUGCAAACAAGGUAGAAAGCCGAAGCCUCCUGGGAGCUUGAUCUUGAACUUUACAGCCUCCAAACUGUAAAGAAAAUAUAUUUCUAAAUAUAUUCCUAUUGUUUAAGAUUAUGGCAUUUUGUUAUGAAAGUCAGAAUAGACUAAUAUAACUACCUAAUUAAUCCUCACAUCAGUUAUCCUCAGUUGUAUUUCCUCCUUUAACUAAAAACAAGUGAAUAUCACCCAGAAGGGUUACAGCCAAACUCAAGAAUUUGGAUGUUUUGAUUCCAGGGAUUUGUUAUGACAUAGUUCUUCCAUUAUUUUCAGUAGAACAGUUUUCUUAACUAGUACAAAAUCUGAACUCAU
rnacentral:lncRNA from 1 species